GGAUUAGAUACCCUGGUAGUCCACGCCGUAAACGAUGUCUACUUGGAGGUUGGGACCUUGAGUUCUGGCUUUCGGAGCUAACGCGUUAAGUAGACCGCCUGGGGAGUACGGUCGCAAGGCUAAAACUCAAAGGAAUUGACGGGGGCCCGCACAAGCGGUGGAGUAUGUGGUUUAAUUCGAUGAUACGCGAGGAACCUUACCUGGGCUUAAAUGUAGGAUGACUGGUUUGGAAACAGACCUUUCUUCGGACAUCUUACAAGGUGCUGCAUGGUUGUCGUCAGCUCGUGUUG
rnacentral:rRNA from 1 species